rnacentral:rRNA from 1 species
AAGAGAGUUUGAUCCUAGCUCAGGAUGAACGCUGGCGGCGUGGAUAAGGCAUGCAAGUAGAACGCCCCGCAAGGGGAGUUGCGAACGAGGUAGUAAUACAUAGGUACAAACCCCCGAGUCAGGAAUAAGCGACCGAAAGGUAGUCUAAUACUUGAUAGUCCCGCAAGGGUAAAGAUUUAUCGCUUGGGGAUUGGCCUGUGCAGUAUCAGCUAGUUGGUAGGGUAAUGGCCUACCAAGGCAAUGACGCUUAGGAGAGCUGAGAGGCUGACCUCCACCGAUGGUACUGAGACACGGACCAUACACCUACGGGUGGCUGCAGUCGAGAAUCUUCCGCAAUGGACGCAAGUCUGACGGAGCGACGCCGCGUGAUCGAUGAAGUCUUUCGGGAUGUAAAGAUCUUUUAUGUAGGAGAAAGUUUUGAUAGUACUACAUGAAUAAGGGGUUGCUAAACUCGUGCCAGCAGCAGCGGUAAUACGAGUACCCCAAGCGUUAUCCGGAAUUAUUGGGCGUAAAGGGUGUGUAGGUUGUUAUGUUAGUCUUUUGUCAAAGCCUUCGGCUCAACCGGAGAAUUGCGGGAGAAACGGCAUAACUAGAGGGCGCGAGAGGUUUGCGGAACUCAUGGUGUAGGGGUGAAAUCCGUUGAUAUCAUGGGGAACACCAAAAGCGAAGGCAGCAAACUGGCGCGUUUCUGACGCUGAAACACGAAAUCCGCCUGGGAAGUACGACCGCAAGGUUAAAACUCAAAGGAAUAGACGGGGACUUGCACAAGCGGUGGAUCAGGUGGCUUAAUUCGAUGGUAAACGAAGAACCUCACCAGGGUUUGAAACUCAUAGGAAAGACCUAAGAAACUAGGUAACUCCGCAAGGAUCUAUGAGCAGGUGAUGCAUGGCCGUCGUCAGUUCGUGGUUUGAACUGUCCCCUUAAGUGGGUCAACGAACGCAACCCUCGUUGUCUGUUAUACGUGUCAGACGAGACUGCCCCCGCCUGUGUGCAUAAGCGCAAAUAUAUUUUGUUGCUUGUGAACAGAGGCGGGGGAGGAAGGAGAGGAUGACGCCAGGUCAGCAUGUCCCUUUGAUACCCUGGGCUGCACACUUGAUACAAUGGUCACUACAACGGGUCGCGACGAGGUAACUCCGAGCUAAUCCUAAUAAAGGUGGCCCCAGUUCGGAUUGAGGGCUGAAACUCGACCUCAUGAAGUUGGAAUCGCUAGUAAUCGCGGGUCAGCUAUACCGCGGUGAAUACGUUCUCAAGUCUUGUACUCACCGCCCGUCAAGUCAGGGGAGCCGUGAGUACCCGAAAUCCCAUCUUGCAUGGGCUUAAGGUAAGCAUGGUAACAAGGACUAAGUCGUAACAAGGCACGGCUAGCGGAAGCUGGUCGUGAAUCAAUU